UUUGGUGUAAGGGAAACAAGCUGGCCCAAGAACAACUUAACACAGGACUAACCCUAACAUCUCUAAGGAGGUCCGCCUCCCUCAAUCUUUCUUCUCUCUCAGCUUUGACCGAAAAAACUCAGCUUCUCUCUGUUUCUAUUUCUCUGCAAAUCUCCUCUGCUUUUCUUGUUCAACGCAACAAACAACAAACCUCUCGUAUCUCUCAAUCGGCAUCAAUAUCUACUCAACUAAACCCUCUAUAUUCGCGCUCGGAAUUCAAACAAUAACAACCAUGAAACUCUCUCUCACUCGGCUCAUAGUUCUCUCGGAUAGCUCUCUAUCUCGCUGAAUUCACUGUUUCUAUCCUAUGCAACUUAUCUCUCUAUCCCCACCGAAAUCGAGCAUCAACAAGAAGCAAGAAGCAAGCAUACAAAUUCGAUGAUAAUUGAACACAACAACAACUCAGUUUAAGCACACAAGCAUAGCAUGGCAACAACAAACAGGCUCUAGCAUACAGUCAACAAUUUAACACUGAAGCAUUUAGAAAUUGAGGCUUACCUACGGCGAGGAGGUUUUCGCUGGAAAUCGUUGAAUAUGAAUAAUGAAGAGUCGGAAGAAGAGAAAUCCAGAGAUAUAUGCAGCAAUCCAGUGCGAACUGCUUCUGGAAAAUUAGUACGUUGCAGAUGCUUUUGGAUCAAACGUUGGCGAUGAAGAGGUUGACGCGUUGAGUUGAUGAAGCAGAUGUCAAACUCGGAAAAUUUGUGAAGGUUCAGUGUUGUGGCUUCGUUGGAUGAAUUGUUAGUUGAAUCUAUUUGCAGCAAGGAAUUGUAUCCGUGGAAUUGUGAUCAAAUUGUGUUUGAAUGAACCGAGGGUGUGAAGGUUUGUGAUAAAUUUUGGAGGAGAAUUUUCUGGUAGAAUUUCAGCAGCAUAACAAUACUAUUUCUCCUCUCCUUUUUUCUGUGAAUCUGAGUGUGUAUUUAUAGGCAUGAGAGGUGUGAAUUGUGUGAGCAAGAGAGAGGGAAAAUUGGAGGGAAUUGUGAGUCACGAUUUCUGAGUUUUUUUGAAGGAAUUUGAGGGUAAGCCGUGUGAGGUGGUUUAGGGCAAUUUUGGGCCAUUGAUCAUUUUAAAUGGAAGGCUGAGAUUGGUUUGGAUGAAUGAAUUUGAUGUUGAUUUUUGAUUUUCUGUGUAAACAUAAAUCCUUGCUUGUGAAUGAAAACGUGAAUCUUUUGCUGCAGAUAAAA